GGAAAAGCUGACUGCUUUCUUGAUGACUGCAAGCUGAAGUCAACAUAUGCACCACCUGGGCAGAUCCACUGAAUAGCAUCAAUGCAUGAAGAAAAUGGAGUCUGGAAAGGUGAUAUGAACAAAAGGUAGCAAGAGCUAAAAGAGGCAUAAAUAGCCCCUGGCUGUCAUGUGAACCAGCGUGGGCUUCUUCACUCAAUGACCAGAGACACGUGGCCCAGUCAUCUCCACUGCCCCAGCCAUCUCCACUGCCCCAGCCAAAAGAAAAACAAUUACCGAACAUGUGAAUGAGGCCAUCCCAGAUGAACAGCUGAGCGCAGAUGAAUGAGCAAAUCCAGCCAAGACGACCCAAGCCUGCCCCAUAGGGGAAGAAUCACCCUGCAGAUUCCUAGACUCAAGAGCAAUAGUAAAUGAUUGUCUUAAGUUACUAAGUUAUGGGGUUGGAUUUUUUUUUAUGCAGAGAAAGCCAACAGACAUAAUACAAUUGAAUGAGUUAAUAUAUGUAAAUCAUUUUUAAGAGUACGAGGCAUAUAUAUGAAUAUAAGCUGUUAUAAUUAUAACUCAGUUGCCUCUGAAACAUGCUGUUCUUACUGAGACCACUGGUACUUAUAAUCCUAGAACCUAGUAUGUGCUGACAUCUCCAGGCCUUUCUAAAGUUUACCAACCUGGAAUAUUGCUGUCCUUACUCUCACCUACCUGAUAAACUCCUAAUUCUCUUAGCUUAACUAUACCUUCUUUUGUGGAUCAUUUCCUUACAGCAUUACGUGGUGUUUAAUAUCCCUUCUGUGAAUUCUCAAGAAUUCCAUGCUUACCCCACUGUAGUGUUUCCAUAUUGUACUGUUAUUAUCUAUAGAUUUGCCACCUACACCAUUUUACAAGCUCCUGAGGGUUAGAAGCUAUGUCACUAUUGGGUAUUAGAAGCUGUUUUAUUUUCAGCAACUCUUUAUUACAGUGCUGUAGUCAACCCCAUAGAACCAACAAGAGUUAACUCUCCAAAACAAAGUUAUUUAUGUCUGAAGGUACAAAAUGUCUUUAAAUAAACUUCUGUUAUGCCAAGACUACUUCACUAUUGUAAGAUUUUUUAAAUAAAUUAGAUGAUUUUUACAUAUAUUCCUAUUACAUUUUACUUCAGUUGUUUCAACCACUAUUCCUACUAAUUGCUUUUCUUUUUAAAAUAGAGCUGUUGUCAACAU